AAGCUCGUAGUUGAAUUUCGAGACCGGCUUACUGGUCGUGCUUUUGUACGUACUGGUAUAAUCGGUUUCUCCUUUCUGACGAACUAUAAUGCCAUUAAUUUGGUGUUAUAGGGUAUCAGGACUGUUACUUUGAAAAAAUUAGAGUGUUUAAAGCAGGCUCACGCUUGAAUACAUUAGCAUGGAAUAACGGAAUAGGACGUUUGAUUCUAUUUUGUUGGUUUCUAGGAUCGACGUAAUGAUUAAUAGGGAUAGUUGGG
rnacentral:rRNA from 1 species